CGCAUCUGUGCAUGCAGCAUAUCAAUAAGCGGAGGAAAAGAAACUAACAAGGAUUCCCCUAGUAACGGCGAGUGAAGCGGGAAGAGCUCAAAUUUGAAAUCUUAAAGGGUUUCCCUUUACGAAUUGUAGUUUAAAGAAGUGUUUUCUGUUGAGGUUUUGGUAAAAGUUCUUUGGAAUAGGACAUCAUAGAGGGUGAGAAUCCCGUAUUUGACCUUUACUUUCAACUUUGUGAUACACUUUCAAAGAGUCGGAUUGUUUGGGAAUGCAGUCCAAAAUGGGUGGUAAAUUUCAUCUAAAGCUAGAUAUUGGCGAGAGACCGAUAGCGAACAAGUACCGUGAGGGAAAGAUGAAAAGAACUUUGAAAAGAGAGUUAAACAGUACGUGAAAUUGUCAAAAGGGAAGCGUUUGACACCAGUGUUGUUUUUCUGAAAAUCAAUUAAAGAACUGUUUAUGCUAAGCUGUUUAGACUUUAUCAGCUAACUGUUUAGUUUUGAGCUUUUCUUUAAUGCACUUUUCAGUUAACAAGUCAACAUCAAUUUCUUUUGCUGUAAAAAAGCUUGAGGAAGGUGGCUUGAGAUUCGUCUUAAGUGUUUAUAGCCUCUUGCCUAUGCAGUCGGAGAGAUUGAGGUCUGCAGCGUAGAUCCUUCGGGGCUAAAUGCAGUUUGUGCUAAGUUAUAGCAUUUUAUAGACAACUUGUUGACUAUGAUUUGUCUUGUAGCUUACUCGCUUAUGUUAUUUUACCUACGCUUAGGAUGUUGAACGCGCACAGAGUCUC
rnacentral:rRNA from 1 species